UACGUAGGGGGCGAGCGUUAUCCGGAUUUAUUGGGCGUAAAGGGCACGCAGGCGGUCGUGUAAGUUUUGGGGUUACAGCUCCCGGCUCAACUGGGAGAGCGCCUUGAAGACUGCAGGACUUGAGGCCACAGAGGGACACGGAAUUCCGGGUGUAGUGGUGAAAUGCGUAGAUAUCCGGAGGAACACCAAAGGCGAAGGCAGUGUCCUGGGUGGUACCUGACGCUCAGGUGCGAAAGCUAGGGGAGCGAACGGG
rnacentral:rRNA from 1 species